rnacentral:rRNA from 1 species
GGUUAACGCUGGCGGCGUGCCUAACACAUGCAAGUCGAACGGUUCUAAGCGCGAGCUUAGGAUAGUGGCGAACGGGUGAGUAAAAGGUAGGAAUCUACCCCUUGGACGGAGAUAGCUACUGGAAACGGUAGGUAAACUUCGAUAAGCCCGAGAGGGGAAAGUGGUGAGACAGCCGAGGGAUGAGCCUACUCUCCAUCAGGUAGUUGGUGAGAUAAAAGCUUACCAAGCCGAUGACGGAUAACCGGUGUGAGAGCAUGAACGGUCACAAGGGCACUGAGAGACGGGCCCUACUCCUACGGGAGGCAGCAGUGGGGAAUCUUGGACAAUGGGCGAAAGCCUGAUCCAGCGACGCCGCGUGGAGGAAGAAGUCCUUCGGGAUGUAAACUUCUGAACUAGCCGAAUAAAAGGCCUGUGGACACACAGGAGAAGAAAGUAGGCUAGGAAAAGUCCCGGCUAACUACGUGCCAGCAGCCGGGUAAAGCUACGUAGA